GACGAACGCUGGCGGCGUGCCUAAUACAUGCAAGUAGGACGCAGUUGCGAACGGGUGAGUACCGCGUAGGUACCUGCCUAGUGGAGGGGGAUAACUAUUGGAAACGAUAGCUAAUACCGCAUACUAGUAGAUGGACCUGCGUUGUAUUAGCUAGUAGGUCGGGUACUGGCCUACCUAGGCGACGAUACAUAGCCUACCUGAGAGGGUGAUCGGCCCAACUGGGACCGGGACACGGCCCAGACUCCCACGGGAGGCAGCAGUAGGGAAUCUUCGGCAAUGGGGGGAACCCUGACCGAGCAACGCCGCGGGAGUGAAGAAGGUUUUCGGAUCGUAAAGCUCUGUUGGUCAGGAAGCGGUACUUAACCAGAAAGGGACGGCUAACUACGUGCCAGCAGCCGCGGUAAUAC
rnacentral:rRNA from 1 species